rnacentral:rRNA from 1 species
AAAGUGGUACGUGAGCUGGGUUUAAAACGUCGUGAGACAGUUUGGUCCCUAUCUGCCGUGGGCGUUGGAAGUUUGAGAGGACCUGCUCCUAGUACGAGAGGACCGGAGUGGACGAACCUCUGGUGUACCGGUUAUGACGCCAGUCGUAUCGCCGGGUAGCUAAGUGCGGACGAGAUAACCGCUGAAAGCAUCUAAGCGGGAAACUCUCCUCAAGAUAAGACUUCCCGAGGGUUUAACCCUCCUAAAGGUUCGUCGAAGACUACGACGUUGAUAGGUCGGGUGUGGAAGCAUAGUAAUAUGUUAAGCUAACCGAUACUAAUUGACCGUGAGGCUUGAUCCUAUAACUUUG